AUGCAAGUCGAGGGGAAACGACAUUGAAGCUUGCUUCGAUGGGCGUCGACCGGCGCACGGGUGAGUAACGCGUAUCCAACCUGCCUCUGACUAAGGGAUAACCCGGCGAAAGUCGGACUAAUACCUUAUGAGGUUUUCUGCAGACAUCUAACGAAAACGAAAGAUUUAUCGGUCAGUGAUGGGGAUGCGUCUGAUUAGCUUGUUGGCGGGGUAACGGCCCACCAAGGCAACGAUCAGUAGGGGUUCUGAGAGGAAGGUCCCCCACAUUGGAACUGAGAUACGGUCCAAACUCCUACGGGAGGCAGCAGUGAGGAAUAUUGGUCAAUGGGCGAGAGCCUGAACCAGCCAAGUAGCGUGCAGGAUGACGGCCCUAUGGGUUGUAAACUGCUUUUAUGUGGGGAUAAAGUGAGCUACGUGUAGUUUAUUGCAGGUACCACAUGAAUAAGGACCGGCUAAUUCCGUGCCAGCAGCCGCGGUAAUACGGAAGGUCCAGGCGUCAUCCGGAUUUAUUGGGUUUAAAGGGAGCGUAGGCCGUGGAUUAAGCGUGUUGUGAAAUGUAGACGCUCAACGUCUGAAUUGCAGCGCGAACUGGUUCACUUGAGUAUGCACAACGUAGGCGGAAUUCGUCGUGUAGCGGUGAAAUGCUUAGAUAUGACGAAGAACUCCGAUUGCGAAGGCAGCUUACGGGAGCACAACUGACGCUGAAGCUCGAAGGUGCGGGUAUCAAACAGGAUUAGAUACCCUGGUAGUCCGCACAGUAAACGAUGGAUGCCCGUUGUUAGUUCACUUUAGAAUUAGCGACCAAGCGAAAGCAUUAAGCAUCCCACCUGGGG
rnacentral:rRNA from 1 species